AGUGAACGCUGGCGGUAGGCCUAACACAUGCAAGUCGAACGGCAGCACAGGAGAGCUUGCUCUCUGGGUGGCGAGUGGCGGACGGGUGAGGAAUACAUCGGAAUCUACUCUGUCGUGGGGGAUAACGUAGGGAAACUUACGCUAAUACCGCAUACGACCUACGGGUGAAAGCAGGGGACCUUCGGGCCUUGCGCGAUUGAAUGAGCCGAUGUCGGAUUAGCUAGUUGGCGGGGUAAAGGCCCACCAAGGCGAGGAUCCGUAGCUGGUCUGAGAGGAUGGUCAGCCACACGGGAACUGAGACACGGUCCAGACUCCUACGGGAGGCAGCAGUGGGGAAUAUUGGACAAUGGGCGCAAGCCUGAGCCAGCCAUACCGCGUGGGUGAAGAAGGCCUUCGGGUUGUAAAGCCCUUUUGUUGGGAAAGAAAUCCAGCUGGCUAAUACCCGGUUGGGAUGACGGUACCCAAAGAAUAAGCACCGGCUAACUUCGUGCCAGCAGCCGCCGUAA
rnacentral:rRNA from 1 species